rnacentral:misc_RNA from 1 species
AAGACUAUAGACCUGCGGAGUACCUGCGGAGGGAUCAUUAAUGAGAACCUGCCCCUCGCGGGUAGAUCUCCCACCCUUUGUAAACUUACCUUUGUUGCUUUGGCAGGCCCGUCUCCGGACCGCCGGCCUCGGCUGGCCAGCGCCUGCCAGAGGAUUCUAAAACUCUGUCUGUCAGUGUUGUCUGAGUCUAUAUACAAUCGUUAAAACUUUCAACAAUGGAUCUCUAGAUCGGAAGAGCAC